rnacentral:rRNA from 1 species
GACGAACCGUGCGAACGUUGUUCGGAAUCACUGGGCUUAAAGGGCGCGUAGGCGGUCUGCCAAGUCCGGGGUGAAAGCCCCCAGCUCAACCGGUGGGAAGUGCCUUGGAUACUGGCGGACUCGAGGGAGGCAGGGGUUGUGGGAACUUCCGGUGGAGCGGUGAAAUGCGUUGAUAUCGGAAGGAACGCCGGUGGCGAAAGCGCACAACUGGUCCUCUUCUGACGCUGAGGCGCGAAAGCCAGGGGAGCAAACGGG